CUACCCUUCUAUUUGUCAGGUGCUGAUAUGCAGGAUAAAGAACAUGAGAAGGCUCAGUCUUGAACUCCAGAGAGAUUGGGUCUUGCUCUAGGAUGCAGUGCAGUGGCGCGAUCUCAGAUCACUGCAGCCUCGGCCUCCUGGGGUCCAGCAAUCCUCCCACCUCAACCUCCUGAGUAGCUGAGACUACAGGCCUGGCGCACCUUGAUCUUCACUUUGAAAGAGUCGAUCAGAAAGACCACCUUGGGGAUGCCUUCCAGGGAGGGCAGCUGUCCAUCAUCUGGCACCUCCAGGUCGAACCUCUGCAGCAGCCAGGCCAUGAUGAGGAAGAGCUCCUGGCGGGCCAGGAUCUCACCUAUACAGGAGCGAGGUCCUGCUCCGAAGGGCAAAUAGCUUACUGACGCAAACUCACCGAUGCUGCUCCAGAGUGGAAGAGGAAAAAGCUUCUUCUUCACCUGAAGACCAGAGUAGGUUGGAGGUGACUAGUGUGUGUAAGCCCAGGAGAAGCAAGGGCUUAGAGAAGAAUCCAACUGUGACAUCGAGAAGAGCCUGUCCAGUCCCUUCCCAGUAGUGGCUCUGGGGCCCAGGCCCGGCUUCCAGAAGAUGGGGCAGCUCUACUCUGGGGUCAAAGCCAACUACUGCUUGGCUGCCAGAGUCUCUCCUGGAGGCGGAUCUUAGCUUUCUGUCUCUGGAAGUUCCUACUCCACCCCUGACCUUCAGCCAGAAUGGAAGGCAAGAUGGGGACACAGAACGGGUUUAUCAUGACGACGAAGACAAUUCUAAACAAGGGAGGAGGGCCUGGUCUCCACCUCUCCUUCCCCAUUCAAUCAAACAUCAAGCGCUGACUCUGCUAUGUGUCCAGCCCUUAGGAGUGAGAGAGACAUGAGCCUGAAGGCUCAGACAAGCUCCUUAACCCCGCUAAGCCUGCUUCUCACCUGCACAAUGGGGAUAAUAAAACCUACUUCCAAGGGGAAUUCA